GACGAACCGUGCGAACGUUGUUCGGAAUCACUGGGCUUAAAGCGCACGUAGGCGGUUCGUUAAGUCAGAUGUGAAGCCCCGGCUCAACCGGGAAGUGCAUCUGAAACUGGCGAGCUAGAGUACGAAGAGGGUCGCGGAAUUCCGGUGUAGAGGUGGAAAUUCGUAGAUAUCGGGAGGAACACCGGUGGCGAAGGCGGCGACCUGGGUCGAUACUGACGCUGAGGUGCGAAGCGUGGGGAGCAAACAGG
rnacentral:rRNA from 1 species